rnacentral:lncRNA from 1 species
GGUUAUACGAUAGAAUUAAUCGAUACAAAAUCAAUAACUUACUAUAUAAAAAACUUUUACAUAAAAAACUGCAUAAAACACAUCAUUUAACUUAUGUGAAAAACACACAGGAAUACCGAGAGAAGUCUUAGAUUAAAGUGGCAGAAAAGUAACCCAAGACAUAAACCAGAUGCCAGUGUUCGGCAAAACUCCACCCACGUACGCGCAC